rnacentral:rRNA from 1 species
GAUGAACGCUGGCGGCGUGCCUAAUACAUGCAAGUCGAGCGAACGGACGAGAAGCUUUCUUCUCUGAUGUUAGCGGCGGACGGGUGAGUAACACGUGGAUAACCUACCUAUAAUACUGGGAUAACUUCGGGAAACCGUAGCUAAUACCGGAUAAUAUUUUGAACCGCAUAGUUCAAAAGUGAAAGACGGUCUUGCUGUCACUUAUAGAUGGAUCCGCGCUGCAUUAGCUAGUUGGUAAGGUAACGGCUUACCAAGGCAACGAUGCAUAGCCGACCUGAGAGGGUGAUCAGCCACACUGGAACUGAGACACGGUCCAGACUCCUACGGGAGGCAGCAGUAGGGAAUAUUCGGCAAUGGGCGAAAGCCUGACGGAGCCACGCCGCGUGAGUGAUGAAGGUCUUCGGAUCGUAAAACUCUGUUAUUAGGGAAGAAAAUAUGUGUAAGUAACUGUGCACAUCUUGACGGUACCUAAUGAGAAAGCACCGGCUAACUACGUG